UGUUGUUAAUAAAGGGAUGCAAAAAGGUCUUCCGCGGCAUCUACGGUGAUUUCUCAAAAACUAAUGAUGUUGUUUGUUCAGAUGAUUUAUGGAGAGAGGAGGGGGACAGUUGUUGUGCCAGCCCACCCUGCCAUCAGUGAUGAUGAGGAGGUGAAAGAUAAUGGCGAUGUGGCAGACCCUGACUGGACAAUCCAGGUCCAAGUGACCUCUUGCCAUCUGCAUGUAAACGGGGACAGCCAGUGACAACAAAAUUAGACGACCUCCAUGCAAGUCCAUCAAGGAGAUGGGGAAAAAUGAAGUCCCCCGUGCUAUGUGUGACUACAUAACCAGUGACGAUGGGAUCCUGGCCCUCAGGUGGAAGGACAACAAAAUUGUCACUGCUGUCAACAGACAUGGGGGUGGAGCCUAUGUCCUCUGUCUCAGGUACUGCAGCGACACCAAGACAAAGGAGCUGUCCAGCUGUCUUCAAAAGUAACAAUGCCAACAUGGGUGGCAUUGAGAAGAGCGACAUGUUGGUUCACCUCUAACACACCUCAUGAGGUCAAGGUCAAAGAGUGGGUGGGGCCUAUCGGCUCCUGCAAAUCACCACACGUUUGCACAGACUGCAGAUCUGAGGGAGGAGGGGACCAGGAAAUUUGAGCUGCCUCUAUUUGAAGGGAGAGGAUUAUCAGGAUGUGACGAGGAGCCUGACAAACAAAAGGUGUUUAACUCUUUGUGUGAUGUAAAGUGCAGAUAAUGGAAAACAAAGCUUUGCUUACACUACACACAUUGGAAGAAAAUGAUACUUUGUCUGGUAUAGCUGAAGUUUUUGAGCAUUUGCGAGGUCAGAAUCCACUCUGGAAAAAGAGUCUAAAACCCAGCUUUUGGCUAAAGCUUGAAUCCAUAAUUUUGUCUCUGAAACACUGUUUGAUUACGUAAAUCUUCCUCACACCCUGACAGACUUCUGCAAAGUUUCAAACAAAGGUGUGUGUGUGUGUGUGUGUGUGUGUGGGGGGGGCAUGAAACAGGGAUGCUCACUCUUCCUAAAAACCUGUUCAACCUGUCACCAACUUACUGUUAAAGCUGUGUGGUUGCUGUUGUUCUCAAGAACCAUGCGUAAAAGUAGCAUAACAAGCAAAAAAAAAAAGACAAUAAAGACACAUACUGAUCAUUGCACAUAAUCAUAUAUUGCCUGUUGUGCUGGUUUCAAAUUCCCGAGUUUCGGACUCUAAUUGCCCAGUUUUUAAGCCUCUUCAUCCUGUACCAUGUGAUAAAAAGGCACUGUCCAGGAUGUGUGUGAUCUGAGAUGAUAUUAGGGGCCCUGCUGAGACACCAGGAACUGGUGAGGUGAUCCAGGGGCAACCAAUGCUUUUCUGGGCUGGUUUGAUGACCCAUGGUGCACCAGUGCACCAGCACACUCUCAAUGGUGAGAGUGGUAAAAAAAAAGAAGAAGAAGUGUGCAGCCUUGAAUUUGCACCCUUGUGAUUCACUAAAAGACUUUGCAUCAAAACCAAUGAGCGUUGAGAUUCUGCAACUAAUGUCAUGUCCAUGAAGUUCACAAUAGAGGAAAAUAAAUAAAUACCUCCAUUGUCUGCCAGGACACCCUCUAUACACAGUCACUAUGAUGUAGAAUGGGACAGGAUCUACUCUGUACCUCCUCAAGUCCACAAUCAUCCCCUUGGUUUUGCUGUUAAGCAUGAGAUUAUUUGCAGAGCCCCCCUGCUGUGCCAUCUUCUCGAACUUGGCUCUGUAUGCUGACUCGUCAAGGGCCUUUGCGUCCUCGCUCGCUGCCAUCAUCAUUAAGAUUGACCAGCUAGUGAUUACUGCUCUGAUUCAUUCUAGUGUAUUCAUUUUCAUUAAAUAAAAAACAUUAUAUUUUAUUGUCAGUUCCGGUAGUUAAAUGGAUCUUAGUGACAGAGCUGUGUUGAGGCUAUAGUCUCUUACAGUGGCAGUGAGCCCAUGCACAUGUCCCACAAGUCCCAUUGUUGGAGGAAAUUUAAUUUCACUUGUCGUUCUUCUUAAGAGAAGAAAAUUAAGUUUCCUCAAAAGGAGAUAUUACAGUCUGUGCAGUCUGACUCACUGCUCCUUCUUAUGUUUGACGGGUUAGAUAUCCUAACUAGAUAACGAUGAGCAAUCAAUUUCACCCAAAUGGAACAGAUAAAAUGAUUUCCGAAACUUGUUUUAUAUUGC